rnacentral:rRNA from 1 species
UGGAUCUGCGGCCGAUUAGGUUGUUGUUGGGGUAACGGCCCAACAAGCCAGUAAUCGGUACGGGUUGUGGGAGCAAGAGCCCGGAGUUGGAUUCUGAGACACGAAUCCAGGCCCUACGGGGCGCAGCAGGCGCGAAAACUUUACAAUGCGGGCAACCGUGAUAAGGGAACCUCGAGUGCCUGUAUAUGCAGGCUGUCUGGGUGUCUAAAACACACCUAAAGAAAGGGCCGGGCAAGACCGGUGCCAGCCGCCGCGGUAAUACCGGCGGCUCGAGUGGUGGCCACUUUUAUUGGGCUUAAAGCGUUCGUAGCUGGGUUGCUAAGUCCCUUGGGAAAUCCGACGGCUUAACCGUCGGGCGUCUAAGGGAUACUGGUAAUCUUGGAACCGGGAGAGGUGAGGGGUACUUCGGGGGUAGGAGUGAAAUCCUGUAAUCCUCGAGGGACCACCUGUGGCGAAGGCGCCUCACCAGAACGGCUUCGACAGUGAGGGACGAAAGCUGGGGGAGCAA